UACGUAGGGUGCAAGCGUUAAUCGGAAUUACUGGGCGUAAAGCGUGCGCAGGCGGUUAUGUAAGACAGGGGUGAAAUCCCCGGGCUUAACCUGGGAACUGCAUUUGUGACUGCAUAGCUAGAGUACGGUAGAGGGGGAUGGAAUUCCGCGUGUAGCAGUGAAAUGCGUAGAUAUGCGGAGGAACACCGAUGGCGAAGGCAGCCCCCUGGGUCGACACUGACGCUCAGGCACGAAAGCGUGGGGAGCAAACAGG
rnacentral:rRNA from 1 species